UCCAGACUCCUACGGGAGGCAGCAGUGGGGAAUAUUGCACAAUGGGGGAAACCCUGAUGCAGCAACGCCGCGUGAGUGAAGAAGUAUUUCGGUAUGUAAAGCUCUAUCAGCAGGGAAGAGAAUGACGGUACCUGACUAAGAAGCCCCGGCUAACUACGUGCCAGCAGCCGCGGUAAUACGUAGGGGGCAAGCGUUAUCCGGAUUUACUGGGUGUAAAGGGAGCGUAGACGGCAUGGCAAGUCAGAUGUGAAAGCCCGGGGCUCAACCCCGGGACUGCAUUUGAAACUGUCAGGCUGGAGUGCAGGAGAGGUAAGUGGAAUUCCUAGUGUAGCGGUGAAAUGCGUAGAUAUUAGGAGGAACACCAGUGGCGAAGGCGGCUUACUGGACUGUAACUGACGUUGAGGCUCGAAAGCGUGGGGAGCAAACAGGAUUAGAUACCCCCGUAGG
rnacentral:rRNA from 1 species